AAAGGAAAGGAAGGAAAAACAAGGCAUCAGGACUUGAGGCAAAUAAGACCACUAAGGAGUCCAGACCCUCCGCUAGCGCGAUUCAACGUACAGUACAGGUCAGGUCACAAGCGAGCGAGCGAGCGAGCGAGCAAGACUAAGACAGAUUCCAAGUGAAGCAAUCGAUUGUUUUCUAUUACUUUCUUCUGUGAUGUCUCUGUAUAUUGGUAAUCUGUCAUCACGCAGUCGACAAGAUGAACUACAACAUGUCUUCCAAAAGUUUGGGCGAUGCAAUGUACGAUUGAAAGAUGGAUAUGGAUUUGUAGUAUAUGAAUUCCCUCCAAAUGCAAAGAAAGCUUUGAGAGCACUACAAAAGAAGUACAUUUGUGGUGAGCCAUUAACUCUCACAUGGUCAAAUAAACAGCCUAGACCAUUUGAGAGAUCAGUGAGGUCUACAAGAUCCCAUAAUAAGCCACAGCAUGGCAUGUAUUUUGUUAAAGGAGGGGAUUAUGCUAAAGGAAAGUUGGGUUCUAAUAAUCAGGAUUACAGGAUGAGUGUCAAGCAAUCAGAUGUUUUCAGCAGAAGGCAUGGUUCAACUGACAAGCUUGAUAAAGAGGCAACAUACCUCAAGUAUGAUCCCAAAAAUAACUUGGAGGAAGAGCAUCAUGGAUAUAAGGAAGAUUUUUUGAGUGAAGGUGAUAGGUUUGAGCCUGUGCCAGCUGAUAGGUGGGGCAAGCAAUUUCAUGACAAAGUGAAUGAAAAGGGUGUUGACCAUGCUGUAGAAUUUGACAGAUACGAACCUUUACAAGGUAAAGAUAGAAAAACUAAUGAUGAAAUACGUCAGAUGGUCCAUCGCGAUGAUUCUUCUGGCAUACAAAGCCCUCCAAAAGGUAUAGGAACAGAUCACAUUAGUGAAGUGAAGUUGAAACGUCCUAAUGAUGGGAAACUCCAGGUUACUUGCUACAGAUGUGGAGGUUCAGGUCACAAGAAACGCAAUUGUCCCCAGGAAAAUACUUCACUUAGAAAGUCCUCUACGUCUGACAGUAGGCAUGAUGAUGAAAUCAAUAAAAGAGGUGAGCAUGAAAGUGAACUGGAAAAGUUUGGAUCCGGGUCAGGGGAAAGGCUGCGGUCGGGUGGGGAUGCAAAUCCCGGAAGGCAACUUGAGAAUGAUAUGAAAUCAUCUGGCUUAGGAAAACAUCAAAGAUCAAGACGCAGUAGAAGCUCCCCUGUAGGAAGGGAAACUGAUAUGUCUAAGAAAAAGCAAUAUGACAGAAAUAAACGAAGUUGGAAGGAAAUUGGAUCUCCAAAAGGACAGAGCUCAAAGAAAGCAAGAAGUUCAUUUUUAUCUCCCUCCAAUUCUGAUUACACUGCAUCACCAUCUCACUCAGCAUCUCGAUCCUCUGAGCAUGUAAAUAGGUCUUACAAAAAGUCUAUAUCAAGGUCAGUAUCUUCAAGGGCCGGUUCAUUGUUGUCUCAAUCAAGGUCUAGUCCAACAACAUAUUUUUCUAGAUCCAAAGUCUCCAAGUCUAGAGCAAGGUCAAGCUCCAGAACAUCUUUGUCUGUCUCACUUGGUUGUCCCUUACAUUCUUCUUCAAAUAAGGCUCAUGUUAAUCUGAAGGGAUCUUCAGAUAAUGGUACAACUUCUGAAUCUAUUGAGAAAGGGCAACUGGUUGAAGGUGAUAACUGGUUGGGGGAUUCAAACCUAGAAAAUGGAAUGGUGGUGGCGAACAAUGAAAAUGCAGCACCUCCUUCCAAAAUGGUAAUUGAAAUAGAGAAGGACCAGCCUGUGGAAAACGAUCAUGAAGACCACAAGGUGGCAUCUGGGUCAUUGCAUGAAGUAGCAGAUCCAAGCACAACAGCAGGUGACAAAGGCACAGUUGACACCGGGAGUUUCUGUACAAAGGGGCUUGUAGAAAUGGACUGUCAAAAUUCUGAUGAAUUAAUGAUGGAGCACGUGCCUAUUCCACUGAACAACCUAGAUUCAGGAAAUCGUGUCAGUUCAUGCUCUGACCAUUCAAUAACCCUUUCCUCAGAGGAGUUAUGCAAGGUGUUGAAGCAUUAUUAUGGGCUCGAUCUUCAGGAUACAAAUGAUAGGCAUUUACAAACAGAGGCUUACUUUGGUUCUGCUCGCUUGUGGCCUUGGGAGGUAAUCUACUAUAGAAGGUUGAAGAAGGGUCCUAUCUCCAUUGAGAACUAUGCCAGGCGAGUAGAGCAGAACAGGGAAUUUGGUAUAGUUGACAAAUAUAUCAGAAGUAGUAGUGGAUGGAAAGAAUUGGCCUGAUAGAAUCUAUGAAAGAUAUUUUAUUGGUAUUUCGUUCAAAAUUCAUACUUCAAACCCUACUCUUAUUGGAAUUAUAUGCAAUAUUUCUGUUGGGUAAUCGAGGAGAAACUUUGAACAGUACCAGCUUUCUCAUCAUUCUGGGUGGUGCCAUUACUUGAUUGAGGUUGUGAAAUUGUCAUCUUCAAUCUGAAGUGCACAGAAGUUCUCUCAUUUCAGCUUAUCCAUGAUGGUUCUGCUGGUUGAGCUUAGGCUUAAGUGUUGGACAAGCUCCUUUAUCACAAGUAUUAUCUUUUUGGUUUGCACUUCUACAUGAUCAGUUUGCUGUGAGACAAUAAGAUGUUUAAUGUGGAGUUUCACGCCACUUAACCAAUGAACAUAAAAGCUACAAAAAUUGUAAGUGAUGUAAAAAAAGGGAAUAUUUAUCAUUCAACCUGUUCGUAUGGCCCCUCUCCUUCACAAGGGAGCAUGGGACCCCUCUCCCUUCAGUCGAGGAUCUUCCGGUAAGCAGUAUCAUGGAUCCUUAUUAAUUAUAUAGGAGUCUAUGUUUUUCCAGUUGAUUUCCUUCCUUGAUAUCCUACCGAGUGAUGAUUAAUAUUUGUUUGCUACAAUAUGUAGAAACAACACAUUGGUAUUUUCUAGGUUGUAUAAUGCUGAUAUAUAUUUUCUGCGAUAUUGAGCUCUGUUUGACGUGUUAUGUAUUUUGGUGAGGAUGACGGCAGUAACAGCUAAUAAGGACAUUAAUGGGAUGAAUCAAGAUUUGUUUAUUUGUAAGCUGUGAAGUUCUUUGCACAAAUUGCUUCCUUCUCCAUAAUAAGAAUUCUUUGUGGUUUUGAAGCUGUCAACAGUAACUUGUGGCACUGCAGCACUGUAAAUGAAAAGUAUAGGAGGAGAAAAGAGAAGAGUCUGCCAGACACACUGACCUUUCAAAUUAAAUCAAAAUAUUUUUGAAAUUCUGUUUUAAGAAAAACCUAAAUAACUAGGUUACAGGAAUAUUUAUUGACCUGAAUCAAACCAGGAAAAUUCUAAACUGAUACCAACUAGGAAGCAACACUUUUAAAAUAAGAAAAUUCCCAAAUAAUAAUGAACUUAUAUUUCAUAAAAAGGAAGUUAUGUUAGACUCUAGUCACAAUAAUCUAAAUUUACAUGUUAAACAUCAAAUUAAAUUAAUUCAUAAACUUCUUUUUUCUUUUUUUUUUUCCCCCUCUACUGAUUUGUUUUCUUCAGCUUAGGUGAUCAAUGGGAACACUCCCAUGUCAUGCAAUCCUUUUGGUGGACUCUAGUUUCUCAUAUUUGCUAAUUAAGUAUAUAUCCUGCUAGAUUUCCUAGUUUAGCAGUUUCAUCUAAUGCAUCAUGUUUUUCGUGUAUGCAGAUUAUUCAUGACAGCUAUAGACUCUUGCUCUGUUCUGUUAAUUACAUAUUCUUAUAUUGGAAUGCCUUAUUUAGCGAUUGAUGUUUGGUUUGUUUUCUUGUUAUCUACAUCCUUGGCUAGUGGAGAAUAUUGUAAGACCACAUGUUAGCUGUAGAUUGGCUAUUUCUGAAUUCAGGGAAAAAAAAAAUAAUAUAAUAAUUUUUUUCUGAUGAACUUUUGUUUAGGAACUUACUCUGAUCUUUAAUUGCAGGUCCUAUUGACACAUCCAUAAGAAUUCGAGGAUUGUGUUUGACUUCGUGGUUCAGGUCAAGGAAAUUGAGUAUCAUGUGCUUGCUGUCUCUACAUGAAAAGCAAUUGAUUACAUCAGUCUUAGGUCACGUCAGAGCUCGAGAAUUCACCAACAAAUGUAGCAGUCUACCAGUGAUAGCUUGAGGUUAGUUUAUUUGUUUUAGUAACAUAGAAAACAUUUUUCAAGUUAAUUUUACUGAUCUAAUAGAAUUUGUAGAAAAAAAUUUAUUGGUUUCUUCCUAUAUUGUUAACUUUAAAUUUAUGUUCAUGCAUAUGCACCUCAUAAUAAAGAUGAGAGAAACAAAUGUCACUAAUGCUUCGUCUGGCAA